rnacentral:rRNA from 1 species
CUACGGGCCGCACCAGUAGGAAAUUUUCGACAAUGGGGGGAACCCUGAUCGAGCAAUGCCGCGUGAAUGAAGAAGGUCUUCGGACUGUAAAGUUCUUUUAUUGGAGAAGAAUGGUCACAUCAGGAAAUGGGAGUGAUUUGACGGUAUCCAUUGAAUAAGCCCCGGCUAACUACGUGCCAGCAGCCGCGGUAAUACGUAGGGGGCGAGCGUUUUCCGGAAUUAUUGGGCGUAAAGCGUGCGUAGGCGGUUUGUUAAGUCACUUGUAAAAGAUCUCAGCCCAACUGAGUAGGGCGAGUGAAACUGGCAGACUUGAAUACGGUAGAGGUAAGCGGAAUUCCAUGUGUAGCGGUGGAAUGCGUAGAUAUAUGGAGGAACACCAAUGGCGAAGGCAGCUUACUGGGCCGGAAUUGACGCUGAGGCACGAAAGCGUGGGGAGCAAACAGGAUUAGAUACCCGCGUAGUC